GGGGUUGUAGCUUAGUGGUUAGAGCACUUACCUAGCAUGUGUGAAGCCUGGGUUCAAUCCCCAAUAUCUCA
rnacentral:tRNA from 1 species